UCUGUUUCUGCCCAUGCCUGUGUUUCCCACCAAAACAAAAACAGCUCUUUGUAGGGGCAGAGUAGCCUGGUCCUGUAGAGUCCUGCUCACUCAUUGAGGUAUUCUUUCUCCGGGGUUCUACCUGCCUUCAUCAGGAAACUCUGGGAAGGGCAGCUGUUCACAGAAGAUACCAGUGCUUCUGUGGAGUGUCAGGUCUGUGGAGUGUCGAGUCUGUGGAGUGUUGGGUCUGUGGAGUCGGGUAUGUGGAAUGUCGGGUCUGUGGAGUGUUGGGUCUGUGGAGUGUCGGGUCUGUGGAGUGUUGGGUCUGUGGAGUAUAGCUGGCAGCUGGCCCUACAUCGAUCACUUAGCCUGGAAGUACUGCAAUGUCCCCUGAGUCUAUCCCUCUGCCUUCAUGCUUUCAUUUGAACUGUUUAAAGAGCAUCAUAGAGCCAGACGUGGUGGUGCAUACCAUUAAUGCCAGUGCUUGGGAAGCAGAGACAGGCGGAUCUCUGAGUUCAAAGCCAGCCUGGUCUACAGAGCGAGUUCCAGGACAGCCAGGGCUCUAUAAAGAAAAAA
rnacentral:lncRNA from 1 species